rnacentral:rRNA from 1 species
GAUCAUGGCUCAGGAUGAACGCUAGCUACAGGCUUAACACAUGCAAGUCGAGGGGAAACGAUAUUGGAAGCUUGCUUCCGAUAGGCGUCGACCGGCGCACGGGUGAGUAACGCGUAUCCAACCUGCCCAUCACUUGGGGAUAACCUUGCGAAAGUAAGACUAAUACCCAAUGACGUCUCUAGAAGACAUCUGAAAGAGAUUAAAGAUUUAUCGGUGAUGGAUGGGGAUGCGU